UUAAGUUUACAAAGGGCGCACGGUGGAUGCCUUGGCACUAGGAGCCGAUGAAGGACGGAAACUAAUACCGAUAUGCUUCGGGGAGCUAUAAGUAAGCUUUGAUCCGGAGAUUUCCGAAUGGGGGAACCCAGUACACAUCAGUGUAUUGCCUGCAAGUGAAUACAUAGCUUGUUGGCGGCAGACGCGGGGAACUGAAACAUCUCAGUACCCGCAGGAAGAGAAAGAAAACUCGAUUCCCAUAGUAGCGGCGAGCGAAGUGGGAAGAGCCCAAACCGAGAAGCUUGCUUCUCGGGGUUGUAGGACUGGACAUUGGAGUUACCAAAGUUCGACGUAGUCGAAGUCAGCUGGAAAGCUGCGCCAUAGAAGGUGAAAGCCCUGUAAACGAAACGGCGGAUUUCCGUCCAGGAUCCUGUGUACGGCGGAACACGUGAAAUUGCCGUCGGACUCUG
rnacentral:rRNA from 2 species